GAAAAGCCCACUACACCACCUUCUUCCUCUUCUCUUUUUUUUCUCCUCGUUCUCCCCUUCUCUCCCCCACGUUCUUUCCAGUGCCGCCGCUUCCUAGGCAGCGCCGGCGACGCCGCCACUCUCCCUAGCGCCGGCUACCGCGCCCCACUCCGGCGACCCCUCAAGCAGAUGUCCCGCAGCCGCGAAUCGGUUUCUUGGCUCCACGCUUCUCUGCCCCUAAGCUAAACCUAACUUCCAACCUCCUCAAUCCUAAAUGCAGCCGCCGGCAAAACUCCGGCGAGGUAAGGAUUCAGAGGAAGUUCCCAGGCCCCUACCGCUGCUACCACUUCGAUUCCUCCCUUCUAUCUCCUUUUCCCUGAUCUCUAGUGUGUUAUACUGUGGUUGAUGAGGACAUGGAUUAAACUAUUGGUCAACUAAUUAUAUACAUAUCCACUUGAUUCAGAUGCUAUGCUCUAACCUCUUCUCUAGAUUAUUUUCUGUAAGAACCUAUGGUUUUCUGUUUGGUAUCCUUAAUUGCUCAGUUCUAUUCUUUUUACUAAAACCUGCUGCUACAUGAUCUUCUAUAUUUUAAUCUGAAAUACCAGUGCUUCCUGAACUUGGUAUUAUAUAUAAAUGAAUGUUUCACCCUAAAUCCAAUUAUAUGGUGAUUCUAUACAAUCUAAAAUAUAUACUACUGUUUACUAAUUGAACUAGCCUAAUUGAUAGAGUUGUUAUGGUCCUUAUGUUUCAUGAUAAAUUGAAUAUGUGCUAGGGUUCAGAUACUAAUUUCCAAGUCCAUGGCUAAAUCUAAAAUCUGAUUUUAUCUAUAUGUCAAGAAUAUCAAUAUUUGUACUAUGAAUAAAGAUCUGCAGUUACUAAAUUUGAUAAAGACAUAAGACUGAUGAUAUCUUUAUAUACAUUCUACUGUUUCUUGAUUUAUCACCUGAGCACCUGUUUAUCUAUAGUAAAAUUUUAGUUACACAAACCGUUCUGAAGAUCAAACUAUUAAUGUGAAUAUUUUACUGAAUCAGAGAUGUUCUGGUUCAGCUUCUAAUGGAUGCAAAUGCAACACCCAAGGCCUACACAUACUAGUAUAUGCACAGAUCAACAUAGCUGCCAUCUCCUGAGGUUCAUUUUUCAGGUUUAAUGCAUAUAACUAAGUGCGUGCACACAACUCCUAAACAUACUAAUAUAUGCAUCAACCAAGAAUCAUGACAUGAUGUGAUUUCCCUCUCAUUCUAAUUCUUUUUCCAGAUUACCUUAUUUGAUGGUUCUACUGUGGCUGUGGAAGACUAAUGACCGUGUGACUCUCCUCUGGUUCUACAGCUUCUUUUGAAAUUGGUCAGGGUGUUGCUCCUCCUCUUGUUUACUGCUGCCCUUCCGGAUCUGCUACUUGUUUCUCCUCUUUAAAUUGAAACCCCUUGCUCUUCUUGAAACACAUGCAUCCCCUUUCUUUUCCUUCUACUCUCUCACCCUGGUUGUUUUUCUAUGGCUGCUGCUAUUGAGAUUUGGUGUAACUGUGGUGCCGGAUUACUAGCUACUGCUCUGCUAUCUCUCUCUUUUGAGAUGGUUUUGCAUACGAACUGCUUGCUGCUACUGCUGUUGCGGCUGAGGCUGCUGCGACAUGGCUGUGCUCUUGCUGUUGCUACUACUACUGCCACUGCUUGCUGCCUAUGCUGAUCUGCACGACCAAACCGAGGCUGGUUCACAGAUAGCUGAGUUAAUAUAUGUGGGAAUUUUUAGUGAAAGCUAAGUGACUCACCUACUUGGGCUAGAUGGCUGCUCCUAGCUUUGACACCUAUGCAGUGCUUGAUCGGUGGAGUAUUGUAGGGUUUCACUAAUUUUUUUUAUUAGAUAGUCUGAUAUAAUUAGGUACUUUUGCACUUGAGUCCCUCAGAGUCUCUAAUAUUGAAGGUUGCUUUGAGAUUAGGGACUGAUUUGUAAUUGCCCUAGAACUCAAGAGUUUUUCUGAAUAAAUAAUUAAUUGAAUCUU